rnacentral:lncRNA from 1 species
CGGAAGUAGGGGCAGAGCCACCUUAAGUCCAAUCCCGGCAUCUGUCAGCAAUAUACUUUAGGCCCAGCGUUGGCAGUGGAUGGGAACUUUCAUAACCCAUGUUCGACAAAACGAACAGAGCCAAUUCUUACGGCCUAAGAUUGGAGUGACGGCGCAUCCGAUGGACUAGGUUUGAACAACAAUAAUUGAAGGUUCUCUAAAUUUUAUUUUAUUUUACUUUUUUCAAUUUUGUGGGUUGUUUUUCUCUAGUUAAAAGUGCUUCAAUUUGG